CAAGUCGACAACAUUGUUUAGUUGCACGCUGGAUGCUAAAUUGGGGUUGAAAAACAGUGUAUGUAUGUACGUUUGCAUCCAUAGUUGUGUUCCAGAACCUGCAAAUUAGUACUAAUUAGCACUAAUUCUGUUACAACGCGUUCCCGUACUCCAAAAACUAGCAAAACUUGCAGCUCUCUCGAGAAAAAAAUGGCGCUGAGUGGUGCACAUUUCUGCUUGUUUUAGCUACAUGAAUUUGGCCGAGCAGAAAUGUGCAUAUUGUAAAUUUGGCAUUUAAUUGGCAGGGCUAACAAGGUUGAAAAUGUAUACAUACAUUUCAAUAAAGAAAAUGAUCAACUUGAAAACUAAAGGAAAAACUAAUAUUUGUCGUGCAUAAAACAAAAAGAGAAAAUAUGGAGCAACUGAUGUAUUCACUUUUGGACGAUUCCAGCAGUGAAGAGGACUGGCUGAAUGAGGAAUCAGAUUAUUAAUUAUUAUUAUAACAGCCUGUUCCACGAUCUCGAAAGAAAAUUUGUGCGAACGAAGGCUACUCACUCACUUUCGUAUAAGAAUGCGUUCCACUAACUUUCGUUCUUUCUUUCGCAUAGCCUUACGUGAUUCAGUGUUGCUAAAUAUUUUUUGGCAAAAUUAAUCGCAAAAUAAAGCAAAAAAAAGCGCCAUAUGUCUAAUUUAAACGCGAAAAAGCAGCAGUGGCUGUGUCUCAACUGACAGUUCAAACAAAUUGUAAAUAAACAAACAAAACAAAAUUUUUAGUGAUUGUGUUCAAAUUAUUUGUGUUCUUAAAAAAGAAAAAAAUGAAUAUUUCUGUAGCCCUAUUUUUUAUGGAUGAUGAGGAGGAGGUUCAAAAUGUGCCACGGAGGCAUUUAAGAGAUUCUUCGAAUUUAUUUGAAGUACCUAACAACCAGUUUGUGGCCAAUUUUCGUGUGUCGAAGGAAGUUUUUCGGGCUCUUUUGGAUAUGAUGGAUAUGAUGCUGCUUCCAAAAAUUGGCACUCCUCUGGCGAACUCAGGAUUCUCCUACAUAUACUCAACUAGUGCCCGCAGCUGUGUAGUUGAUUUUUUCGUGCUGGCAUUUAGGAAAUAAAAAAAAUAUAUUUGUUGUUCACA